rnacentral:tRNA from 1 species
CGCCAAAUCCUAUGUCUAUAACGUGGCGAAAUCCUGCGAUCGCGGUGAAACUACCCGCAAAGACGCCGCGGGCGCC